rnacentral:misc_RNA from 1 species
AAGUCGUAACAAGGUUUCCGUAGGUGAACCUGCGGAAGGAUCAUUAAAUAAUUUAGAUGGCCUCCUAGAACUUGUUCUAGUUAGGUUCAUUCUUUUUUACUGUGAACUGUUUUAAUUUUCAGCGUUUGAGGAAUGUCUUUUAGUCAUAGGGAUAGACUACUAGAAUGUUAACCGAGCUGAAGUCAGGUUUAGACCUGGUAUCCUAUUAAUUAUUUACCAAAAGAAUUCAGUAUUAUUAUUGUAACAUAAGCGUAAAAAACUUAUAAAACAACUUUUAACAACGGAUCUCUUGGUUCUC